rnacentral:rRNA from 1 species
AACGAACGCUGGCGGCGUGGAUAAGACAUGCAAGUCGAACGGGAUUACUUCUGGUAGCAAUACCGGGAGUAAUUCAGUGGCGAACGGGUGCGUAACACGUGAGCGACCUUCCGUCUUCUGGGGGAUAGCCGGCCCAACGGCCGGGUAAUACCGCAUACGCUGCUUUUCGGGCAUCCGAGGAGCAGGAAACUUCCGGGGGAGGACGAGGGGCUCGCGGCCUAUCAGCUAGUUGGCGGGGUAACGCCCACCAAGGCGACGACGGGUAGCUGGUCUGAGAGGAUGGCCAGCCACAUUGGGACUGAGAGACGGCCCAGACUCCUACGGGAGGCAGCAGUGGGGAAUCUUGCGCAAUGGCCGAAAGGCUGACGCAGCGACGCCGCGUGUGGGAGGACGCUCUUCGGGGUGUAAACCACUGUUGCCCGGGACGAACACACGCUUUUGAGCGUGCUGACGGUACCGGGUGAGGAAGCGCCGGCUAACUCUGUGCCAGCCGCCGCAGU